rnacentral:rRNA from 1 species
UGGGGAAUAUUGGGCAAUGGGCGAAAGCCUGACCCAGCAACGCCGCGUGAAGGAAGAAGGUUUUCGGAUUGUAAACUUCUGUCCUCAGGGAAGAAAAAAAUGACGGUACCUGGGGAGGAAGCCCCGGCUAACUACGUGCCAGCAGCCGCGGUAAUACGUAGGGGGCGAGCGUUGUCCGGAAUGACUGGGCGUAAAGGGCGCGUAGACGGUUUUUUAAGUCUGGAGUGAAAGUCCUGCUUUCAAGGUGGGAAUUGCUUUGGAGACUGGAAGACUUGAGUGCGGAAGAGGUAAGUGGAAUUCCCAGUGUAGCGGUGAAAUGCGUAGAGAUUGGGAAGAACACCAGUGGCGAAGGCGACUUACUGGGCCGUAACUGACGUUGAGGCGCGAAAGCGUGGGGAGCGAACA